rnacentral:rRNA from 1 species
CAACGUUUGACAUGCCCGGACGACUUCCAGAGAUGGAUUUCUUCCCUUCGGGGACUGGGACACAGGUGCUGCUUGGCUGUCGUCAGCUCGUGUCGUGAGAUGUUGGGUUAAGUCCCGCAACGAGCGCAACCCUCGCCUUUAGUUGCCAUCAUUCAGUUGGGCACUCUAAAGGAACCGCCGGUGAUAAGCCGGAGGAAGGUGGGGAUGACGUCAAGUCCUCAUGGCCCUUACGCGUUGGGCUACACACGUGCUACAAUGGCGGUGACAGUGGGCAGCAAACCCGCGAGGGUGAGCUAAUCUCCAAAAGCCGUCUCAGUUCGGAUUGUUCUCUGCAACUCGAGAGCAUGAAGGCGGAAUCGCUAGUAAUCGCGGAUCAGCAUGCCGCGGUGAAUA